rnacentral:tRNA from 10 species
GGGGCAUUAGCUCAGUUGGUAGAGCGCUUCGUUCGCAAUGAAGAGGUCAGGAGUUCGAAUCUCCUAUGCUCCA